rnacentral:lncRNA from 1 species
AAGGGCAGGAGGUAACCAUUAAAGAGGACCAUCAUGUAGUGUGAGGAGUCAACAUUUCACACUAGAAAGCCCUUGGUUCAAGUUUUGUCUCUGCCACCUACAGAUUUUGUAACCCUGAGGAAACUAGCUACCUCUUUAUGUACUGCCCUAUGGAGAGGCACACAUGUCAAGAAACUGAGGGAGUGCCUUCCAGUCAACAGCCAGCCAGGAACUAAGGUGCUCAGUACAGCAGCCUCCACAAAGGACUGAACAAUGCCAACAGCUAUUUGACUGUGCUUGGAAGAUCUCCGUUUAGUUAACCCUUCAGAUGAGACCGCAGCCCUGGCCAGCAAACAAAUUGCAGCCUAUGGAAAGACCUUAAGGCAGAAGCACCCAACUGAACCACCCGAGGGCUCUGACUUACAGAAACUGUGAGCAUAUAGUGAAAUGGCCUCUACCUUAUUUUGAAUGGAUUUCUGGGAUAAAGUUCUUCAGUGAUAACAUGUUUGAAGCGGCUAUCUUAUGUGCCCAUGUUACAUGCUCAUGAUAAAGCUGCAUUUCCUGAGGGGACACCAAUGGAUACACCUCUGCCUGGCACGCAGCUUAGAGGCUAAAUGUAUGAAAAGCAACACCAUGCAAAUCAUUUUGAAACUGCUGUGGAACUCUCACGGGACCCUCCAUUCUAGACAUCCAGUCCCACUAGUGAUCUGACCAUGAAACCUACUAAGAGACUUCCAGAAGAAGAUGACCUCUGAAAGGAGAAAACUUUCUUCCAAGCUUCUGUGGAACAAGAAGAUGCCAUCCCUUUGGUGGAGCCCAAAGGGAAACCAGUGAGAUCAUUUGUACAAAUCUUGAAACCAAAGCACAGCCUGUAUGAACCCAUGUUGAACCCUGGACUUUCAGGACUACUGUAUGGCUAACCACAGCCCUGCAAGGCCAGGCUCAGCAUGUCACAGUUUUGCCACUGAACAAGAAUCUUUCGAAGGAUCGCAAAUACUACAUGGAAAAUGACUGUAUUCUUUCUGCAAGGCCACUCUCUUAGACAUCACCCUAACAAAAACAAUUACGGGUUGGAAGAGGAGAAAGGAUGCAAAGUUUGUGCCUUGACCUAAAAAAGGUCAUGAGCACCUCUACCGGUUCUUGGAAACAUUAGUUGCAGUGGAUCUCAAAUUCUAUUGCGCAAAAGAACGACCUGGUGACCCUCUAAAAGUGUAGAUUCUCUGGUUUCACCCCUAGACCUUGUGACUCACAUGUCCAGUGAGGCCAGGAACUCCUCACUGUUAACCUGUGCCCUAUUUUAACAAGCCCUGCUGGGAGUCGGGAUGUUGGGGGUCCCCACACCACACUGAAAUAGAGGAAUUCCCUGCUCAAAGAUCCCGUUAUGUCCUGAUUACAAUCUGCAAUGAGAUUAUGAAAUCAUUAAAUCAUGAUUAAGCCAA